UUCAUGUGAUGGAAUUUAUGAUGAUUUUCAUUUCCUUUGUUAUACUUUUCUUCAUUGACUAAUUUUAUUCCAAGUAAAAUCAGUUAGAGAUUACAAAAGUCUCUGUUUUUAUAAUCAGAGAAAACAAUAGUGUCGGUUCCAUGUGGGAAAAUGAGUGCUGUUUAACAGAAGUCUGCAGGACAUUAAAGUAGGGAGUCAGAAUAUGGGUACAGAUUCAAGCUUUGUUUAGCAAAGAUGUCUUAAUCUCCUUUCUGAGAGUGAUUCUAUUUGGGCAGCAAAUCCUACAUUGAAAAUUGUUCCAGAUCUCAAGUUAUGUAACUGAACAGAUGGCAGUUGCAUGGCUUUGGCAUGUUGGGCUACAAUCAUAGCACACACUGAGGACCCAGCUCUAGAGACUUCCAGUGGACAAGCAGACGGCUCCCGGGAGCAAACAGACAGGUGUGGCUGUGGGAUGAGAUGAAGAAUUGCACCUUGGCUCAGCUUCCCAUGGUCACUACCCAGGAACAAAUUCCUCAGGAUCCUGAAAGAGGACCUCUAGACCUAAGAGGCAAGAAGAAGAGAAGGUUACAAGUGUCUGGAGAAGUCCACCCAUAUGAUCUGUAGCCUGUGGUUGAAGACUGUAACUAUUGUUAGGCCAUGACCUGGCAGGGUGGAAGAAAUCUGUUUCUUCAUCCUUCUUCUGAUCUUCUGCUUGUGAUGCUCAUUGGUCAAAGUCCAUCAGAAACCAGAGAGCCAAGGAGCCAAGUUGGUGCAGUGCUCAGGGGCCAGCCUCCUGGAACCACACAACAAGGAGCCCUCUCGGGGAGAGUACUUAGCGUGAUCAGAACGGACAACUUGGGAAGUUGCUUAGGCUGGCACAACGACACUUCCAAGAAAAUGCUGAAAGAGAAAACUGAUGGCCUGAACUGCCCUCUGAAAGUGGCGAUUCCAGUUAACUGUCGGAAUUUUUUGCUGGCUGGAGUUUGCCAGUUUGGGACCAGAGCUGAACUGCAAGGGUCAAGCAAGGAGAGACAAACUUCUGUUCCAGUUACCCACAAGAAGCCCUUUGCCUCCAUUCCAAGAAAAUGUCAUGAUCUUACAGUUCCUGGGAUCCGGCCCUGCGUUGGACUGUGUACUAACACCAUGGAGUCUGCAUGGGAUUCUCUCUCUCUCUCUCUCUCUCUCUCUCUCUCUCUCUCUCUCUCUCUCUCUCUCUCUCUCU